rnacentral:rRNA from 1 species
AUUGAACGCUGGCGGCACGCCUAACACAUGCAAGUCGAGCGGCAGCGAGACUAGUAGCAAUACUAGUUGUCGGCGAGCGGCGGACGGGUGAGUAACACGUAGGAAUCUGCCCUUAAGCGGGGGAUAACCAAGGGAAACUUUGGCUAAUACCGCAUAAUCUCGAGAGAGCAAAGCUGCCCGCAAGGGUGGCACUUGAGGAGGAGCCUGCGUCCGAUUAGCUAGUUGGUGGGGUAAUGGCCUACCAAGGCGAUGAUCGGUAACUGGUCUGAGAGGACAGCCAGUCACAAUGGGACUGAGACACGGCCAAGACUCCUACGGGAGGCAGCAGUGGGUAAUAGUGGACAAUGGGGGCAACCCUGAGCCAGCGAGGCCGCGUGAGAGAAGAAGGCCUUCGGGUCGUAAAGCUCUUUAGGUUGGGAAGAAGGGUAUUGGCUGAAUAAUCCAGUACUUUGACGGUACCGACAGAAUAAGCACCGGCAAACUCUGUGCCAGCAGCCGCCGUAAGAC